GAAGCGGCAACAGCUCAAAUUUGAAAUCUGGCGCAAGCCCGAGUUGUAAUUUGUAGAGGAUGCUUCAGGGCAGCGACCGGUCUAAGUUCCUUGGAACAGGACGUCAUAGAGGGUGAGAAUCCCGUAUGCGACCGGUUGGCACCCGUCACGUAGCUCCUUCGACGAGUCGAGUUGUUUGGGAAUGCAGCUCUAAAUGGGAGGUAAAUGCCUUCUAAAGCUAAAUACCGGCCAGAGACCGAUAGCGCACAAGUAGAGUGAUCGAAAGAUGAAAAGCACUUUGGAAAGAGAGUUAAAAAGCACGUGAAAUUGUUGAAAGGGAAGCGCAUGCAACCAGACUUGUCGGCGGUGUUCAGCCGGUCUUCUGACCGGUCUACUCGCCGCCGGCAGGCCAACAUCAUUUGGGAGCGCCGGACAAAGGUGGGAGGAAUGUGGCCCCUCGGGGUGUUAUAGCCUCCUACGCAAUACGGCGCCUCCCGAGUGAGGUCCGCGCUUCGGCUAGGAUGUUGGCGUAAUGGUUGUCUGCGGCCCGUCUUGAAACACGGACCAAGGAGUCUAACAUCUAUGCGAGUGUUCGGGUGUCAAACCCCUACGCGUAAUGAAAGUGAACGGAGGUGGGAACUUUUUGUGCACCAUCGACCGAUCCUGAUGUCUUCGGAUGGAUUUGAGUAAGAGCAUAGCUGUUGGGACCCGAAAGAUGGUGAACUAUGCCUGAAUAGGGUGAAGCCAGAGGAAACUCUGGUGGA
rnacentral:rRNA from 1 species